AUUGAACGCUGGCGGCAGGCCUAACACAUGCAAGUCGAGCGGGGUUUUCGGACCUAGCGGCGGACGGGUGAGUAAUGCGUAGGAAGCUACCCGAUAGAGGGGGAUACCAGUUGGAAACGACUGUUAAUACCGCAUAAUGUCUACGGACCAAAGUGUGGGACCUUCGGGCCACAUGCUAUCGGAUGCGCCUACGUGGGAUUAGCUAGUUGGUGAGGUAAGGGCUCACCAAGGCGACGAUCCCUAGCUGGUUUGAGAGGAUGAUCAGCCACACUGGAACUGAGACACGGUCCAGACUCCUACGGGAGGCAGCAGUGGGGAAUAUUGGACAAUGGGCGCAAGCCUGAUCCAGCCAUGCCGCGUGUGUGAAGAAGGCCUUCGGGUUGUAAAGCACUUUCAGUAGGGAGGAAGCGUUGUGUGUUAAUAGUACACAGCGUUGACGUUACCUACAGAAGAAGCACCGGCUAACUCUGUGCCAGCAGCCGCGGUAAUAC
rnacentral:rRNA from 1 species